GUGGGGAAUAUUGGACAAUGGGGGAAACCCUGAUCCAGCAAUGCCGCGUGGGUGAUGAAGGCCUUCGGGUUGUAAAGCCCUUUCGGCGGGGACGAUGAUGACGGUACCCGCAGAAGAAGCCCCGGCUAACUUCGUGCCAGCAGCCGCGGUAAUACGAAGGGGGCUAGCGUUGUUCGGAAUUACUGGGCGUAAAGGGCGCGUAGGCGGCUCUGUGCGUCGUGCGUGAAAGGCCUGGGCUCAACCCAGGAAUGGCGCUCGAUACGACGGAGCUAGAGUGCAGGAGAGGAUGGUGGAAUUCCCAGUGUAGAGGUGAAAUUCGUAGAUAUUGGGAAGAACACCGGUGGCGAAGGCGGCCAUCUGGACUGCAACUGACGCUGAGGCGCGAAAGCGUGGGGAGCAAACAGGAUUAGAUACCCCAGUAGUCC
rnacentral:rRNA from 1 species